UGAACGCUGGCGGCGUGGCUAAGACAUGCAAGUCGCACGGUGUAGCAAUACACAGUGGCGAACGGGAGAGUAAUGAAUCGCUAACGUACCCCGGACUCCGGGAUAGCCAUCCGAAAGGAUGGGUAAUACCGGAUGACAUCACCACCAGGCAUCUGGAGGUGCUCAAAGGUCCGCCGGUCUGGGAGCGGGCGAUUUCGUAUCAGCUAGUUGGUGGGGUAACGGCCCACCAAGGCGACGACGCGUAGCCGGACUGAGAGGUUGGCCGGCCUCAUUGGGACUGAGACACUGCCCAGACUCCUACGGGGGGCUGCAGUAACGAAUCUUCCGCAAUGCACGAAAGUGUGACGGAGCGACGCCGCGUGUGGGACGAAGCCCUUCGGGGUGUAAACCACUGUCAGGGGUUACCAAGUUCUGAGGAGCCCCAGAGGAAGGCACGGCUAACUCUGUGCCAGCAGCCGCGGUAAGACAGAGGUGCCAAGCGUUAGGCGGAAUCACUGGGCUUAAAGCGUGUGUAGGCGGACGGGUAAGUACCUUGUGAAAUCCCACGGCUCAACCGUGGAACUGCUCGGUAUACUGCCCGUCUUGAGCCACUUAGGGGUCGUCGGAACAAACGGUGGAGCGGUGAAAUGCGUAGAUAUCGUUUGGAACGCCAACGGUGAAAACAGACGACUGGGAGUGUGCUGACGCUGAGACACGAAAGCCAGGGGAGCGAACGGGAUUAGAUACCCCGGUAGUCCUGGCCCUAAACGAUGUCGACUAGGUCGUGGCGCCUCUGACGGCGUCGCGGCCGAAGCAAAAGUGCUAAGUCGACCGC
rnacentral:rRNA from 1 species